rnacentral:rRNA from 1 species
GCGGUGAGCAUGUGGUUUAAUUCGAAGCAACGCGAAGAACUUACCAGGUCUUGACAUCCCCUGACAACCCGAGAGAUCGGGCGUUCCCCUUGGGGGACAGGGUGACAGGUGGUGCAUGGUUGUCGUCAGCUCGUGUCGUGAGAUGUUGGGUUAAGUCCCGCAACGAGCGCAACCCUCGACCUUAGUUGCCAGCGAGUCAAGUCGGGCACUCUAAGGUGACUGCCGGCUAGAAGUCGGAGGAAGUGGGGAUGACGUCAAAUCAUCAUGCCCCUUAUGACCUGGGCUACACACGUGCUACAAUGGGCGGUACAAAGGGCUGCGAACCCGCGAGGGGGAGCGAAUCCCAAAAAGCCGCUCUCAGUUCGGAUUGCAGGCUGCAACUCGCCUGCAUGAAGCCGGAAUCGCUAGUAAUCGCGGAUCAGCAUGCCGCCGGUGAAUACGUUCCCGGGCCUU